rnacentral:rRNA from 1 species
AACGAACGCUGGCGGCAUGCCUAACACAUGCAAGUCGAACGAGACCUUCGGGUCUAGUGGCGCACGGGUGCGUAACGCGUGGGAACCUGCCCUUAGGUUCGGAAUAACUCCCCGAAAGGGGUGCUAAUACCGGAUAAUGUCUUCGGACCAAAGAUUUAUCGCCUUUGGAUGGGCCCGCGUUGGAUUAGCUAGUUGGUAGGGUAAAAGCUUACCAAGGCGACGAUCCAUAGCUGGUCUGAGAGGAUGAUCAGCCACACUGGGACUGAGACACGGCCCAGACUCCUACGGGAGGAAGCAGUGGGGAAUAUUGGACAAUGGGCGAAAGCCUGAUCCAGCAAGGCCGCGUGAGUGAUGAAGGCCUUAGGGUUGUAAAGCCCUUUUACCCGGGAUGAUAAUGACAGUACCGGGAGAAUAAGCUCCGGCUAACUCCGUG